ensembl:snRNA U6 U6 spliceosomal RNA
GUGGUGGGUUUCACAGCAUAUAUGCUAAAAUUGGAGGAAUACAGACAAGAUUUGCAUGGUACCUGCAUAACGGUGACGUGCAUAUUCACAAAAUGCUCCAUGUUCUU